rnacentral:rRNA from 1 species
UACGGAGGGUGCGAGCGUUAAUCGGAAUAAUUGGGCGUAAAGGGCACGCAGGCGGGCUUUUAAGUGAGGUGUGAAAUCCCCGGGCUUAACCUGGGAAUAGCAUUGCAGACUGGGAGUCUAGAGUGCUUUAGGGAGGGGUGGAAUUCCACGUGUAGCGGUGAAAUGCGUAGAGAUGUGGAGGAAUACCGAAGGCGAAGGCAGCCCCUUGGGAAUGUACUGACGCUGAUGUGCGAAAGCGUGGGGAGCAAACAGG